GCGGUCCAAUGAGAAUCCCUGUGAAACACGGACUGAAGGAGCAGAAUGGGUUGGUCGUGAGAGCACUGGAGAGGAAAUGAUGUCUCAUGCUGUGACACAGGGGGUUCAAAGUGAUGAGUCACGUGUACCACAGGUAUAUGCAGACGUAGUAAAGAGAGGAUGUCACAGUGAUGACUCAUGUACAGCAGGACCUUCUAAUGUCAAGCAGGUGAACCUUACAGGUCAAAGUGAAGAGUCAUGUGAACCAGAGGUAUCUAAUGAAAAUACAAUAAAGAGAGGAGAACCCAUUAAAGAUCCAUGUGCAGCAGGACCUUCUAAUGCAGAGUGCGUAGACCCUGGAGAUCAGCCUUCUGAACAACAUGUGCGUGCAUCCCACAGCCAGGCUUCUAUCAGAUAUGGCAGAUCCAGAAAUCGGCAGUGCACCUCUAACUCACUGACCUUUCUUGCAUUCCUUCAUGAGAAUGAAAACAUCACCAGAGCAGACCUGGACCAUGUUUUGGAUAAAGGUAACAAGGUAACACGAUGUAUAGAGAGACCAGGAAACGAGUCACUAAUCACAUCUAUCUGACCACCGAUGAGCUCACUGAUGAAGUUCCUGCACGCAGCGCUACACACUAUGUCAACAUGACUCAGCUUUCAAGGUACGGCACAUUAGGAGAACCUUUACCUGGAGCUGUGGACAGCUUCCUGGACCUGGAGUCAGGACUCAGCUGCUUGUUAUCUGAUGUGAAGUACGCUCUGCUGUUGAUGAGACUCUUGUGUAUCGCAGUGUUCAGAACCAAGUCCGGCAGAUAUGGUUUCUUUGACCCACACUCCAGGACAGCCAGAGGUUUGCCCCUACCAGCCGGUUCACGCACACCAGGUACUGCUGUCAUGGUGACAUUCUCACGUCUCAGUGACAUGAUUGACAGGCUCAAGAAGUCCCACAGAAUGAUGGACACAGAGUCCUCGUGUACCUAUGAGUUGAAGCCUGUGGAGUUCUACAACAUGAACACAGUCAACCUGAACGAUGGUCUCCCAAACACAGACUGCAGACCCACAGCUGUCCCUGUGGAUGAAUCAAGCUCACCUACUCUAAUGAGAAACACGGACACUGAUCAGACCAUUUCACCUGAAAUGACUCCUCACACUCCAGCUGUAAAACAACCAGAGGUCUUCAUCACAACACAUGAUGCUCCUCACAAUGAAUCAGAAUCAACUGCUGAAGUGAUAAACCCUGUUCCCAGUGAUCUCUCUGACAACAUAUUGACAGCAGAGUACAGUGACGUCAUCUUUACAUCAUCGGUGAGACAACAAGAGGUCAUAUUCCCUGAUGCCCCGAAUGAACCACAACUGUCAAGUCAAGCCACUUUGCUUCCAUCACAUGACGCUUCUCUCAAUGAACAAAAUAUUUCUUCUUCAGUAGAAAUGACUGUUGCCAGUGAUUUAUCUAAUAUUCUAUUAGAGGGAAUCUCAUGUAAACUGACAAAGUGUAAUAAAAACAAAAGGAGAAAAAUGAAGAGCAGACUAAUGACCUCAGAGAAAACUCAACAAAGAAAAGAGAUUAAGAAAAGAAAAGAAAGGGAACGGUAUGCUUCAAAUAAAGCAUAUAAAGCAGAAAAAAUAUCUCAUUCAAAAAGGCAAUACCAGAACGAUCCGGAAUUUAGACGAAAGAAAAUAAAUAAUACAAGAGACAACGUUGACUUAAAAAACAAACGGAAAGAGUACAUUUCAAACAGGUACAAAGAAAAUGCUGAUUUUAGACAGAAAAAAAAAAAAUCUUGAUCUCUCGUUACAGAAAUAAUCCAGAAUUUAGAGAGAAACAAAAACAGCACUUUACGGACCGCUACAGAGACAAUGCUGAGUUUAGAAAAGAAAAAAAACUGUACUUCACUGCUUUUUAUAAAGAUAGCAUUGAUUAUAGAGAAAGGAAGAGAUCUCAUAUUAUUCAGCGUUAUGCCCAUGACCAGGCAUUCAGACUGAGACACAAACAACUAAUGAAACAACGAAUGAAAGACAAAUAUAAAAACAAUCCUACAUAUUGGAGUAUGCAGAACAUGAAAUGUGCCAUGAAAAUAAAAAGGAAAUACAGAGGGAUAAAUAAACCAACAGAAGAAAGUGACAACAGUUUGAUCAAAGAGGCCAUGUCUGUUUUCAGGUCCCAUAUAAAGGCCGGUCCCACUUAUGUUUGCACCGUCUGUCACAAAGCAUCAUUUCCAAACCAAGUGAGACCCUGUAAGAGGUUAAACUAUGUAAGAAAUCCAGACAUAGUAGCAUGAUGCCUGACAGGAAAGUACGUCCAUGUGUGUGAUGAUGAGUGCAGCGAUGAACAACAGUGCAAUGUGCCUGAUGAGAGAAAGGACGAGUGGAUCUGUCACACCUGCCACAAUCAUCUUAAAGAUGGAGUCAUGCCAACACUCGCUGUAGCCAACAACUUGGAGCUCGCUGACAUUCCACCUGAACUGUGUGACCUCAACAUAUUGGAGAGACAUCUCAUAGCCAAGUGCAUAGCGUUUGCAAAGAUCAUUCCUCUUCCCAAAGGACGACAGAGAGCGAUACAUGGCAAUGUGGUUUGUGUCCCGUCUGAGGUGCAGGAAACAGUGGAAGCGUUACCCAGACUGAGAAGUGAGUCUCAAGUGAUGAGAGUAAAGCUGAAGAGACGAUUGUGUUACAGAGGUCAUCAGCUCUUCCAGACGGUCACCUGGUCUAAACUAGUGCAGGCGCUGCAUUAACUCAAACGCAUUCAUCCACAAUAUCAGGACAUCACUAUCAGAGAUGAGGCUGAGCUAUGUGACCCAACACUUCAAGAUGAGGAUGAUGAUGAGGAUGCCUCUAUGGAUGAGAACGACUAUGAUGAUGCUGAUUUAAAGGAAAUUGACAUGUGUGAGAAAAGUGCACUGUGUGAGACGGAAACUGAGCUUGAUGGAGAGCAGGAUGUGGACAUGUUGUCUUGUGAUGGUGAACAACCAGAGGAGCAAAGAGAUGAUGAAGAACAGGAAGGUGACAUGUUGUCUUGUGAUGGUGAACAACCAUAGGAGCAAAGAGAUGAAGAAGAACAGGAUGGUGACAUGCCUAACGGUGGUUUUGCUCUAGAAUCAUGUCUUCAGCCGUGUGAUGUUUCAGAGGAGAUUUUAUGUUUCAGUGAAGGAAUCUACUCGGUUGGCCCUGCAGUAAGUAACAGUCCAGUUAGUUUCUUCAAAACUCCUAAACUUGAGGCGAUGGCUUUCCCUGUGCAGUUCCCUACAGGUCAAAACACACUGGAUGAAGGGAGACGUAUGAAAGUAACACCCAGCAGUUAUUUCAAAGUGAGGCUUUUCUGUGUUGAUGAUCGUUUUGCCAGAGACACAAACUAUUUGUUCUUUGCUCAGUUUGUGACUGAAAUACACUUGGCCACAUCCAGCAUGACAAUACAGUUGAGGAAAGGAAAGCCAAUGACUCGAGAUGGACGAAAUAUAACUUCUGGUAUGCUGCAGAAUAAACGAGAGGUAGAGAAACUGGUGAGGAACAAAGAUGCAGUCAGAUUCAUGCAGCCGCUAAGAGGAACACCAGCCUACUGGGAGAAAACCACACGAGACCUUUUUGCCAUGAUCAGACAGUUGGGAACUCCCACAUUCUUUUGUACAUUUUCUGCCGCUGAGAUGCGUUGGCCUGAAGUGAUUGAAGCAAUAAAAAGACAACAAGAUGAGGAGGUGAAUUUUGAAGGGCUCGACUGGUCAGCAAAGUGUGACAUUCUGAGAAGCAAUCCAGUGACAACAAUGCGCAUGUUUGAUAAGCGUGUUGAGGCCUUAUUCAGAGAUCUGCUCUUAUCUCCUGCACAGCCUCUUGGCAAAGUUGUUGACUACUUUUACCGAGUUGAGUUUCAGCACAGAGGAAGCCCACACAUUCACUGUCUCAUAUGGGUAGAAGGUGCACCUGUGUUUGAGGAGGAUGAUGAUCAGACUGUGUCAGCUUUUGUUUCCAAAUACAUCACAGCUCAGCUACCUGAUCCACGCAGACAACCUGAACUACACAAGAAGGUCACAGAGGUGCAAAUGCACAGCAAAAAACACUCACGGACAUGUUUCAGAAGUCCCAGCUCGGGUUGCAGAUUUGGUUUUCCUAAACCACCUUCCAGUAAGACAAUGAUAUCGAGACCUGGUGAGGGCGUUGCUCCACUGCAACUGCAAAUAGCAAAGUCCAAGCUCCAACCACUGAACUUGUUGCUGAAUGAACCUGAAACUGCCUCACUCAGUUUGCAGCAGCUCCUCGCUAAAUGCAACUUAACACUCCAAGAGUAUGAAGGAUGCCUCAGUGUGAUUAACAAAUCCAGUGCGGUGAUCUUGAAACGUGAGCCAAAAGACUGCUGGGUAAAUGGAUAUAAUCCACAUCUACUUGAAGCCUGGGAUGCCAAUAUUGAUGUCAGUUAUAUUCUCAAUGCAUAUUCGUGCAUCAUGUAUCUCACCAGCUACAUCACCAAAAAGGAAUCUGGACUUUCUGAGUACCUCAAAACAGUCAUUGAAAACUCCACCAGAGACCACGUCAAUGAAUGUGAUGACAUGAGGGAAAUCAUGCAGGCAUACUCUAAAAAGAGAGAGGUCAGUGCUCAGGAGCGUGUGACUCGAGCAUGUGGAAUAAACAUGAAGAAGUGUUCACGUGGUGUCAUAUUCGUACCUACGGAUGACAACGCACUGAAAGUGAGUCGCCCCAUGUCUUACCUGGAGAACACAACAUUAGAAAGUGUAAAUGUGUGGAUGACAUCUUUGACAGACAAAUACAAAGCCAGACCAGAAACACCAGAGUUUGAGCAGAUGUGUUUGGCUGAUUUCGCAGCUACUUGCAGGAUUGUCUAUGGCCAGCAGAAAAAAGGAAAAGAUGUGUUGCCCCUCCUCAAUGAGAUGGGAUUUGUGCAAAAGCGUAAAAAUGAUAAGCCUGCUAUCAUCAGAUUUUACCGCUGCUCACAGGAAAAAUAUCCAGAGAAGUUUUAUGGCACAUUACUGAAACCGUACAUUCCUCACCGAUCAGACUUGGAACUGAAAAGACCGCAUUUCCCCACGUACAAGUCCUUCUAUAAAAAUGGUUGCGUCCAACUACCAGGUUCUGACUAUGCUGAGUAUGUCCAACACAUUGUGAAACGAAACAAAGACAAGUAUGAAAAAAACAGUGAGGAGAUUGAAAAUGCAGUCGAAGAAUUUGAACAGAACAGAGGACUGAUUGAUGAAUGGUGCAAUCUGGCUCCAGAAUCUGAAGUGGAGAGGUUGGAAUGUAUCGAAGAACUGGAGGCAAGAGAGCCAGAUCAUGAAAGUGUUCAAGAAAAUGUUCCAGAAUACAGUAAUCAGGCUGAUGCUGCAACAGAAGCUCGAGCCAUCAGAGAGCCUCCUGCCUUUGACCCCACACUGCUACGGCAGAUGUAUCAGAACCUGAACCAGAAACAAGCAUGUGUAUUCUAUGCAGUCAGAGACUGGUGCGUAAAGCGUGUCUGUGGCCUAAAUCCUGAGCAGUUUUUCUUUUACAUCAAUGGUGGUGCUGGAACAGGAAAGUCACAUCUGAUUAAAUGCAUCUACUCAGAAGCAUCUAAGAUACUGUGCAAAGUGCCCAGCCAUUCUGAGGAGGUGGACAUAUCAAACCCUACGGUCCUGCUGACAGCUUUCACUGGAACUGCAGCCUUUAAUAUAUCAGGAUCAACACUGCACUCUCUGCUCAAACUUCCACGAAGUCUGAAACCUCCAUUUCAAGGACUUGGUAACCAACUGGAUGAAGUCCGAUCAGAACUUUUAAAUGCUGAAAUCUUUGUCAUUGAUGAAGUAUCUAUGGUGUAAAAACCCCUGUUUGCUUAUGUGGAUGCAAGACUGAAACAGAUCAUAGGUAGUCCCAAACCCUUUGGAGGAAUGUCAGCAAUAGCGAUUGGAGACUUUUAUCAGCUGCCACCAGUUCGACAGUCCAAGACCCUCUGUGUGUACGAGCCCUGUGAGAUUGAUCUUUGGCAGGAACACUUUCAGACAACACCCUUGACUGAGAUAAUGCGGCAGAAGGACGUUGCCUUUGCAGAGAUGUUGAAUUGGAUCCGUGUGAAAGGAAAGUCAGAUGAGUUGUCUCAAGCAGACAGAGCCUUGUUGUCGCAGACCAUCACUGAACCAUCACUUUGUCCACCUGAUGUCCUGCACAUCUUUGCAACUAAUAAACAGGUUGAUUCACACAACUCAGUAACAUUAGCUCUGCUCCAUUCUAAUAUCACCAAGAUCGAUGCAGAUGACUACAAGAAAGACCCACACACUGGAAGAAUGGCUCGACAAGCCGAACCAUACAAAGGAAACAGAAACGAGUUACCAGAUGCACUAAACCUAGCUGAAGGGGCUCGAGUCAUGCUCACCAGAAACAUAGACGUGUCUCAGGGAUUGGUGAAUGGGUCGUUUGCUACACUAGUCAGGGUGAUAACCUCAGAACAGAGUGGUGUUGCACAUGUCACUAUGCUCGGCCUUAAGAUGGAUGAUCAAACUGCUGGAAGGAAUUACCGUAAUAGAGCAUCAGGCGGCCCUGAUGAUGUGGUGUAUAUAGAGAGAGCAGAGGAUAAUCUGAAACAGAAAGGAGUGGUACGCAGACAGUUUCCUGUUAGACUUGCCUUCGCCUGUACCAUACACAAGGUUCAGGGUAUGACAAGGACAUCAGCUGUAGUGUCACUGAAACACAUUUUUGAACCUGGCAUGGCUUAUGUAGCUAUCAGUAGAGUGACCUCUCUCAGUGGACUGCACAUGCUGGAUCUGGAUGAGAGUAAAAUCUAUGCCAAUCCAGAAAUCACUGGAGCACUCGAGACCAUGAGACAAGUCAACUUGGACGACAUGAUGCCUCUUCUUUGUAUGACACAGACAUUGAGCAGACGAGACACUCUGACCAUUGUUCACCAUAACACGGAAGGUUUGCCAUCUCACAUCAAUGACAUCAGGAGCCAUCAUGAACUGUGUCUUGCAGAUGUUUUGUGUCUCACAGAAACUCACCUUCAAGGCUCCUUUGUUGCAGAGAGUCUUCAUUUAGAGGGCUACAACAUGUUUAAACGCAAUAGACACCUGUCUUACACAAAUUUUCCACAAAUAGCCAACAGAGGUGGUGGUGGAGUUGCUGUUUAUGUGCAAAGCCACAUUCAAGUGCGUGAGAAACAGUACGUAAAUAAUGUAACCGAUCUUGAGUUUGUGGCUCUGAAGGUAGAAGCCCCAGCGAGUGCCCUGAUUGCAGCUGUGUACAGACCUCCAGACUACAGUGUGAGAUCAUUCCUGUCCAACCUGGAGAACCUUCUGGACUCAUUGGAGAUCAUGGACUGUCAGCCCAUCAUUGUCUGUGGGGAUUUCAACGAGAAUCUCUUCUCCAACACUGCACACUACACAGGUUGGCGUCUGCGUGGGCAAUCAUGGCAAAGUCGACUGGACCACAGCGGAAAAUGAUCCUUCCAGAGAAGAAGUUAUUUACUUCUCUCCGCUCAGAACUUAUGUGACCUACUGCGUUUAUUUUCUUCUUUAGCUCUCAUUUCAGUAUUAAAAUUUGCUGUAUUUUUGCAAGAGGGGCACCAAUCCUAUUUGAGUGACGUUUCGAAUUGUACUUGUAUUAGAGCAGACAGCUCAUCUGCAGAGCGUUGGCCUCUGGUGCAGUAGAUGAGGGUUUGAUUCUUGGCAUGUUAAUACUUCUUCUACUUCUGUUUAAUGAAUCCAGAAUGUAAUAUUUGUUCAGUAUCCAGGGGCAGUGAUUUAUUUAGUCAUGUUUUACAUAUUUUGUUUUUUUACAUGAGAAUAUGCUUCGGUACAUGCUGAGUUAAUGAAUAUACAUUCUAAAGUGCAAUGUUCAUAUGUGAAUAAGAGUUGUAUACUUUUUAUGAUAGUCAUUAUGGUGUGGAAAUGUCUCAUGUAGUUGGUCAAUUGGAACUAUAUUAGGCAGUAAUAACAGCUAAGCUUUUAAUCUUAAAACAAAAAAGGAUAACUCUGUUGGACAACUACUCAAUUGUCUUGACGACAUAUAGGCCUGGAUGGCUUGAAACUUUUUUUAAUUUUAAUGACUUAGGUCAAUGCAAAGUUUCUACAUGGCUUAACUGAUUCAAACUGAACUUACCAAUAUAUUAAGCCCUGGAGGAGGAGCGUAUCUUAGUCAAUGUAUUAUUAAUUAUUACAUUCAGCAAAGCUCUCUUCAGGAAGACAGCCACGUCGUCAUCCAGCGGGUUUGGUUAAAAAGUUAACACAUCUUGAUGGAGCAAAAGAGGUGGGGUUAGCUGUCGUCCUUGUACCUCGACUAAUCCAAGGUGAUCCUACGUUUCGAUAUUGCAUCAAGCUAAAGAAUCAAACAAUAACAUUUAAGAUCCAACAGCUAACCGUUACGCGCUCUCCACUUCUUACAGAGCACUUUAAACAUGGUCAUGUUAUCGCCUGAAGCCAGACACUGAAUCCACAACUCCCGUGUUUUACAGAGACUCAAACGGGUGUGACUUGACUGUAUAAAAACGUGAUCUUCAAUAAACGAAUGACUUUCCGUACGACAAGGUCUGUGACAACUGCCUGAUCGAGGGUCGUCACAUGUAGGGGCCCGGUUCACGCGACGCCCCAGGUCGACCUUCUGAUUUCCCGACACGAGUCCGGCAGACCGCUGCCCACCCCGCCGUGCGAGAAUAGGCGAAGGCCCGUUCAUUGCUGCUUGCAGCUUUAAUUAGGGCCUGAGCCGACUGAAAGUCAGGCGAAAGCCCUAUUGUUUUUCCAAGAAUUCUUCUUAUUAUUAUUAGGGCCUGAGCCAACUGAAAGUCGGGCGAAAGCCCUAUUGUUUUUGCAAGAAUUCUUAUUAUUAUUAUUAUUAGGGCCUGAGCCGACUGAAAGUCGCAAGUGUGAUUUAACUUAAUUUUUAUUUAACCUUAUUUAUGUCUAUUGAUAUAGUUUUGUUAUAAGCACAACAUACGGUUGUAUACUGUUUUCUAUAUAGUGUCUUAUUAUAUGCAGCGAGUAAAAUAUUGAUAAAUGUAGCAUGGUGCAAUAUUGAUUUUGGGUUACAAUAAAAACAUUUUACAUCAUGAUUAUUUUGGCAUUUCAUUCAAAGGGACACACUAACUUCUAGAUGGCUUGCGAGUCACCGAGUGCAAAACUGUGGGGGGGAGACAGCCAUGACUGACAGCUGUACUUCAAAGCCAGAUCCACCCUUUUUUGGCACCAACAUGAAGUGCAGAAGGGCCUACAUGCGUAACCUGAUCUCUUUCAAUUGGUGUGAACUUGUGAACUUACUGCACU